AACUGGAUAGCCUAGUGGUAAAGGCAUCGCUCCUAGUAUGCUGAGGUCCCAGGUUUGAUUCCUGGUCUGGUCA
rnacentral:tRNA from 1 species